GAUUCAGGAGACUUGUACACGGUCCAGCGCGGAUGGCACUUCUCUAGAUUACAACUCGGACAGCCAAAGACUGCCAGAUUUUAAAUUUGAGCUUUUCCCGCUCCACUCGCAGUUACUAGGGGAAUCCUUGUUAGUUUCUUUUCCUCCGCUUAUUGAUAUGCUUAAGUUCAGCGGGUAGUCCUACCUGAUUUGAGGUCAAACAAUUGAGAUUUAGCUUCUGGGAGCCGAUUCAAGAGGCCCGAGGACGCACAUGUGCUGCGCUCGAAGCCCAAGUACCGGCCGCCAAUGACUUUGAGGCGAGUGGCCCAGGGGCCACAGUCACCCAAUACCAAGCAGAGCUUGAAGGUGUAAAUGACGCUCGAACAGGCAUGCCCUACGGAAUACCAUAGGGCGCAAUGUGCGUUCAAAGAUUCGAUGAUUCACUGAAUUCUGCAAUUCACACUACUUAUCGCAUUUCGCUGCGUUCUUCAUCGAUGCCAGAACCAAGAGAUCCGUUGUUGAAAGUUUUGAUUUAGAUUUUUUUUUGUUCAGACGAUUUUUGUUCAGGUUAUCGCAAGGGUUUAAAAAGGUCCCCAUUGGCAGGCGGGCCUGCCGAGGAAACAAACAGGUGCUCGAAAAGGCAAGGGUUCUCCCUCGAAAGAGCCGAAGCUCUACGAUAAUGAUCCUUCCGCAGGUUCACCUACGGAAACCUUGUUACGACUUUUACUUCCUCUAAAAUGACCAAGAAUCUCUAGAGGAUCCCCGGGUACCGAGCUCGAAUUCACUGGCCGUCGUUUUACAACGUCGUGACUGGGAAAACCCUGGCGUUACCCAACUUAAUCGCCUUGCAGCACAUCCCCCUUUCGCCAGCUGGCGUAAUAGCGAAGAGGCCCGCACCGAUCGCCCUUCCCAACAGUUGCGC
rnacentral:misc_RNA from 1 species